GCUGGGCGUGGUGGCGUGCACCUGUAGUCCCAGCUACUUGGGAGGCUGAGACGGGAGAAUCACUUGAACUCGGGAGGCAGAGGUUGCAGUGAGCCAAGAUGGCACCACUGUACUCCAGCCUGGGUGACAGAGUGAGACCCUGUCUCAA
rfam:Gorilla gorilla gorilla genomic chromosome, chr19, whole genome shotgun sequence